GCAGCUCAGUGGUAGAACAUCCGCUCUGCAUGGAGAAGGAUCCAGGUUCAAUUCCUGGCAUCUCCA